rnacentral:lncRNA from 1 species
UUGUCAAUCCCUUCUCUCUCCUUCUCCGAUCAACUGCAAAGCUAAUGUUCCCCCGAUUCUCCCUUAAAUUUUAGAAAAUUUUUGGGCUCUCUAGGACUGCAAAAUCUGUGGCUCUUUUAUUUGCCCACAGAUUUGCUUGUAGUUGCCGAAAAGCCCUACAUUCAAUAGAUCGAUAUAAUUUCACAGUUUUCUGUAUAUAUCUCUUGGUUUUUUAGGAAUUUUAGUUUCAGAGAAUCAACAACCGUCGCAGCAGCCCUGGAUUAGAGGUAUGGUUUAUUUUUUGUAAUUUUAAAAAGUUUUACGUUCUUUGAGUCUUCUUACUAUUUUUAUGUAUUUUUGUGCUUCAUUUUUUCCUCUUUGUAUUUCUUCUUGUUAUGUUUUUUUUUAUUUUAAAAAUUUUUAUGUUCUUUGAGUUUUGUUACUAUUUUUAUGCAUUUUUUUAUUAGUUUUUUUCCCCGUUGUAUUUCUUCCUGUUAAUAGUGAAUAAACUGAAAGUUGAUUUUUUGAAAAUUUGAUAUUACAGAUUUAAAAUGCUCGGUUUGCCUAGCGUUCAGGAG